CGUGUAGGCGGUUGUUUAAGUCUGAUGUGAAAGCCCUGGGCUCAACCCAGGAAGUGCAUUGGAAACUGAACAACUUGAGUACGGGAGAGGAAAGUGGAAUUCCGAGUGUAGGGGUGAAAUCCGUAGAUAUUCGGAGGAACACCAGUGGCGAAGGCGGCUUUCUGGACCGAUACUGACGCUGAGACGCGAAAGCGUGGGGAGCAAACAGGAUUAGAUACCCUGGUAGUCC
rnacentral:rRNA from 1 species